rnacentral:snRNA from 1 species
AUAUAUUUUGUAAAAAAAAAAAAAAAUCUGUUCUUAUCAGUUUAAUAUCUCGAUACGUCCCCCAUCGGGGGACUACAUAUUAAAUGGAUUUUUCGAACAGGGAGUCGGAAAUGGGGCUUGCUCCGUCCGCUCCACGCAUCGACCCGGUAUUGCAGUACCUCCGGGAACGGUGCAACACUU